AUUGGCCGGAAUGCGGUGGCUGUCAGACACUGGGGGGACUUUGAGUUGCAGAUUAUUGCAGACUAAGCAGUCUGUCUGUGCUGCAGCACGAGCGGAGAGCCUGGGAAAGAGGCCAGGGGGCCCCAUCCAAAUUAUCUCAUUAAUUCAGCAUCUACAUCACAGGCACAGCCCUGCCUUGGCUGGAGGAGAGGCGCUCUCACACUUUCUUUCUUUCAGCUCAAGUAUCGAGCGCUACUCUUCCACAAAGACUCCGGCACACAAAAUGCCCUCCUUAAAGGCAGCUCUUUGCUAACUAUGUAGGAGAGAGGGAGGAAGCCGCGAGCAGGGGCGACUGCCUAUUGUUCUCCUUGUCAAAUGACCAAAAUGCAGUCCCAAGGCUGCUCAGAGAUGGCUAACUGGCCAUGUCUUACGAGCGGCAGCACUUGGGACCCAAAUGGAGCCAUACUGACAGAUUGGAGGUUUCCGAAGGGACACCUUCAACUGUCUAGCAAGGUCAUCCACAAGGAGAACAGUGAGGCCGAUGCAUUCCUGACUCCCGAAAACGGAUGCGGAUGUCAUUUCACUUAAAUUACCUCUUGCUUAUUUUUUUUCCUUCUGUUUUUUUUUUUAAAUCAUACUUCUUCCAUGUAUAGUGCAUUUGGUUUGUGGUUGUUGAUAAGGUCAUAAUGUCAUAUAUUGGAGAUUGUUCAUGUGUAUAUCAUAAAGUGUAAGAAUCUACGGGACUCUGAGCCUUGCUUAAGAGAAUUUACAAACGGUCAAAAUGUACCAUAACUCACUUUUUUACAGCCUAGGUAUAGAAAAUAUCCUCACUGUGAAUCCAUGUUUACACACAGUACAGGUGGGCCUCGCGGCCUGUUUCUACCACAGCAAUGUCUUCCUCGACUCUUAACAACUCAAAAAUCUAUCUGCCUGUCCAUCACUACAGCUACAAUCCUUCUCCAAACUAACAGUAACCUUGCAGAGGCUGAGAGUCCCCCUCUUAUUACGUAUUAUGUUCACGUAGAUGUAGCAUACCUGUUAGAUUAUUUUCAUCCAUUGUCCGUAUAUCUCUAUAUUUUAAUUCAUGUAAACUUUUGAUGUAUAGAAAUAGUUGUUUGAAACACAUUGUUUCCUUGUGGUAAGUGACAGAGAAGCUGCCACGGGAUAUGAGACACUGAUGAAUGGUGCUAUUUUGGACUUUUAAACAUGCUCCUUGGCAAGGUAGCUCUGAUGGGAGUUAUUUUUAUUUCUAGGGGUUUUUUUUUUCUUGUUCUAAGAAGGUGUUGGUAUUUUUUCCUGAUUGUUGUUCUCUAGACGGGACUGACUUUGGUUUCAGUGUGGCUUUUUUAAAUUCAGUCUUUUUUUUAGGGUAAAUAACUGCUAACAGAGCAAGUGAGAAAAGUUCUCUCUUAAUUUCUCUCUCUUUCUUUUGUUUCUGUACUGGGUAGAUUCACCAACAAGCAACUGUUGUAGCGGGAGCAAUCACAAAACUGUAAUUUACGUAAAAGUUAAUCUACUUCCCAUUCCUUCAUUAGAGAGAACUAGCAAUAACUCGUAGAAAUUUCUAGCCUGUUCUGUGGUUUUUCUUUUAGAAAGUGCAUUUAAAGCAAAGGGGCAGGUUUCUGAAUGUCCUGUGGCCCACGUCAGGAUUUAUUUUUGUUUGUUUUGAGUGAGGCAGCUGAUAAUUUUGCUAUUUUUUUAGUCCUGAAAAUAUGAAAAUUCAUUUAGGUAAACAAAAUAUUUUACACUUUUGUUCUUGCUCUCAGUGAAAAAAACUAUUAAGUAAACUACUCAUAGGGGCAUAUUUAUCAAAGAGUGAAGUUAGAGAUCACCACAGUCCACUGGAGUGAAAUUCCACUACUCUCCAUUCAUUUCUAUGGGAUUUUUAAAAGAGUAUUUCUCAAUGGGUGAAAGUGAAAGUUCACCCUUUUAUAAAGAUGUCUAAAAAUUCUAUAGAAAUGAAUGGAGAGUGGCGGAAUUUCACUCUAGUGGACCGUGAUGAUCUCUAAGUUCACUCUUUAAAAAAUAUGCCCAAUAGAAUGCUGUUGUGUUAGACACAAUCUGGAAGCCCACCUUAUUUUUUAAUGAUACUAAUAGAAUCUUGUCUUUAGAUCUUCCUUUGCAGUGCAGACAGCACUCUGGGCUGUUGUAGCUUUGACUGUUAAAUGCGUCUGCAUGCUUUGCCUACUGUAUGUUAGGUUUUAUUUUUCCUUUCCAAGUACUAUAUUGUAUGAUUAGAACCUAUGAGCUGUGCUGUAUAUAAUAGAGCAGUUAAUCAGUAUUAAACAGUUGUGGCAUUUAUGUAUGGUUGCAUUUGUGUAUUGAUAAAAAAAAAAAGGCAAGCUUUUGUAACAAUGUGAUCUUUAAUGAAGCACUUAAGUACUCAUUGUAUUUUAACUAUUUUAGAAUCUGUUCAAUAAAUAUGCAAGCGCUAUUCAUUUUAAA